UUUUUGAAUUUUAUUUAGCUAGAAAGUAAUGACUGUUGGUGCGGAUACUGAUACAAAUGUUGUAUCUAGAAGUCUGCAAAUUAGCAGAUACCCGGUUUAUAUCUGCAUCCAUCAAUGUUAGUGUGGAUAUCCGCAGCUCAUUUUUGCAGCUGUGAGUACAAAUUUUGUAUCCGCACAGGGCUCUACUGAUGUUUCCCCUUUUUCAUCUUUCUCUCCGUCGGGUACCUCUGGAGCUUUAAGCAGGUUCAAUGCAGUUGAGGAACCAGUGCCUUAUUAAGCUGUUAGCCUUGUUCUUUGAAGUUAGUAUUCUGCACAGGCCCCUUUCCUUGAGAGAAUGUGGUGAGAGUAGUUCAAAAACAAGAUGGCUGUAAGCCCAGAUCAAUAUUUAUAAGUAUCCUUCAGUUUUCUGGAUUUGAGAAGGGUCUGGUGUUUUUGCUGACAAGGCUAUCAUGGGUUACAUCUUGAAAGCAAACUCCUGGGGGCAGAGUCUCAUCUUGUUCAUACAGCGCCAGGCACUGAGAGUCCUGAUCUGUGACUGGAGCGUAUAGGCAGUACUUAAAAACAAAUAAGGGAGAGAACUGGCUGGGUAUAGGACAGACCUGGGCAAGUACAGCCCGCCAAGCCACCAGAUACAGCCCGCAGAGGGGAGCCCCAGGCAGGCUCCCCAGCUUGACCCGCAGCCCCAUGCGCUGGACAGAAACGUGGCUGCAGCCUAGUUUGACAGCUGGCAAGUAAGUCUCUUGGCCACAGCUGUCUUCUGGCACCCCAGCCUCCAUUCCAGACCCCGCAUCUCCAUUAAUGUCAUGGAAGAGUGCGGUCCUCGACCACUUUCCAAAAUCUUGGCGUGGCCCCUCAUCAAAAAUGAUUGCCCACCCCGGUAUGUAAGUAUUACUGUUCUUAAGUUAGUUCCUGCUCAGUGGGUCAUACUUUUCUCUCAAUUCAGUGUGAAGUAAAUUCACCACCUUUGUGAUUUUGCAUAUUGAUUCUCAUUUGGAGUAAAUAGUUGGGGGUGGAAGGCUGCCUUUCAGUUCACAGCGAGAAAAAGGAUGACAUUGUCAAGAUUUGAAUCUUUAACUGUCUGAUAUUAUAACUAAACUCCAUACAGAUUCGAGAGCUUAUUGAGUCCUUCGAAGGUCCUCAGCCUGCAGACGUGAGGCUGAUGAAAAGAAAGACAGGUGUAAGCCGUGGUUUCGCCUUCGUGGAGUUUUAUCACUUUCAAGAUGCUACCAGCUGGAUGGAAGCCAAUCAG